ensembl:snoRNA U3 Small nucleolar RNA U3
AAAACUAUACUUUCAGGGAUCCUUUCUAUAGUCCAUUACUAGAGAAAUUUCUCUGACUGUGUAAAAUACUGGAAACCAUGAGGAGGAGGUACAAUGUUCUCUGAGAGGGAAGCCAGUUCUCGGUGUUGCUUUGCUGCAACUGCCACUUGCCAUUGAUGAUCAUUCCUGCUCUCCUUCUGGGAAGCUGGAGAGAGAGGAUGUAGUCUCAGCAGA